AUUUGAAACUGCAUUAAAACUCCGUGGAGGCCCCUCAUUAGUAUUUGCUCAUUCAUUGGGAAAUAAUGUAUUCCUGUACUUCUUGGAAUGGUUAAAGCUGGAAAUUGCACCAAAACAUUACAACGAAUGGCUGGACGAACAUAUUCAUGCCUAUUUUGCUGUUGGAGCUCCUCUUCUUGGUGCGCCUGAUACAGUUAAAGCGACACUUUCUGGAUCAACAUUUGGUCUUCCUCUUUCUGAGGUUACUACUUUUACAUUCAUUUUUCAGGUCUUGCGUUUAUCCGUUGCACAUAGUACUUACGUUUCUGUUCAUCGAUUCCGAUGCAAGACAUAAUCCUCAUUUAAUCCGUACUAGCCUUCGAUAAUUUUCCUAG